AUUGAACGCUGGCGGCAUGCCUUACACAUGCAAGUCGAACGGUAACAGGUCUUCGGAUGCUGACGAGUGGCGAACGGGUGAGUAAUACAUCGGAACGUGCCCGAGAGUGGGGGACAACGAAGCGAAAGCUUUGCUAAUACCGCAUACGAUCUCAGGAUGAAAGCAGGGGACCGCAAGGCCUUGCGCUCACGGAGCGGCCGAUGGCAGAUUAGGUAGUUGGUGGGAUAAAAGCUUACCAAGCCGACGAUCUGUAGCUGGUCUGAGAGGACGACCAGCCACACUGGGACUGAGACACGGCCCAGACUCCUACGGGAGGCAGCAGUGGGGAAUUUUGGACAAUGGGCGCAAGCCUGAUCCAGCCAUGCCGCGUGCAGGAUGAAGGCCUUCGGGUUGUAAACUGCUUUUGUACGGAACGAAAGGACUCCUUCUAAUAAAGGGGGUCCAUGACGGUACCGUAAGAAUAAGCACCGGCUAACUACGUGCCAGCCGCCGCGGUAAGAC
rnacentral:rRNA from 1 species